AAUUUGUUGGACUUACCAUUAACUCUAACCUGAACAUUUUUACACUCAGUUUCUGAUCAGCUGAUUUUCAAAGAACAUUAAUCAAAAGUCUCAAAGACGUGUCAGCUGUUUAACCACAUGAACAAAAGAUCAGAGUAUAACAUGGUUUCACAUUGUUUGCACUUGAACUGAACCUAAACUACUAGACAGAGUCCUGAAAUAUUAUUGUUCUACUGUCCUAUCAUAACAAUACAUACUAUAAUAACACUAUGGUAUGAAAAUAUCUUUCAGUCCUGGUUGUGACUUUUUAAAUAUUACAGUUUCAAAGACUAAAAUAUUUAAAAUUCCUUGUUUUGUACACUUAUCUACACCACAAAUAAAAAAUAAAGAUGAAUUUGACCUUGGCUUGAUAUUAACUGCUCUGUAGUCGAUGCCUGUCUCUAUGAAUCAGUCAGAGGCUCUUAGGACACUGAUAAUGAUGCAGGAGAAUCCCAGGAUAUUACAUAUUCUUCGAUCGAGCUUAAAAACAUUGCUAAGACGGGGAAGCGUCAUAAAACAGUGGACAGCUC